rnacentral:rRNA from 1 species
UGGGGAAUUUUGGACAAUGGGCGCAAGCCUGAUCCAGCCAUGCCGCGUGAGUGACGAAGGUCUUCGGAUUGUAAAACUCUUUUGGCGGGGACGAUAAUGACGGUACCCGCAGAAUAAGCCCCGGCUAACUUCGUGCCAGCAGCCGCGGUAAUACGAAGGGGGCUAGCGUUGUUCGGAAUCACUGGGCGUAAAGCGCACGUAGGCGGAUGUGCCAGUCAGGGGUGAAAUCCCGGAGCUCAACUCCGGAACUGCCUCUGAUACUGCACGUCUUGAGUUCGAGAGAGGUGGGUGGAAUUCCUAGUGUAGCGGUGAAAUGCGUAGAUAUCAAGAGGAACACCUGAGGUGAAGACGGGUUGCUGGGCUGACACUGACGCUGAGGCGCGAAAGCCAGGGGAGCAAACGGGAUUAGAUACCCGUGUAGUCCCUGAGCGGGCUGGCAAGGCGCAU